GAUGAACGCUGGCGGCGUGCCUAAUACAUGCAAGUCGAGCGAACAGACGAGGAGCUUGCUCCUCUGACGUUAGCGGCGGACGGGUGGGUAACACGUGGAUAACCUACCUAUAAGACUGGGAUAACUUCGGGAAACCGGAGCUAAUACCGGAUAAUAUAUUGAACCGCAUGGUUCAAUAGUGAAAGACGGUUUUGCUGUCACUUAUAGAUGGAUCCGCGCCGCAUUAGCUAGUUGGUAAGGUAACGGCUUACCAAGGCAACGAUGCGUAGCCGACCUGAGAGGGGGGCGCGCCCACCGGGAAGAUGAGACCGGUACCAGGCCCAGAGGGGGGGCAGCAGGGGGGAAUUGUCGGCAGGGGGAGAAAGCCGGACGGAGAAGCGCGGGGGGGGUAAUGAGGGUCUUGGUAUGUAAAACCGUGUUUUUGGGGAAAAAAAAAAUGGGAAAGUACCAAUCCCGGUCUGGACGGAACUAAAAAAGAAAGCCCGGCCAACCUCGGG
rnacentral:rRNA from 1 species